UACGUAGGGGGCGAGCGUUGUCCGGAUUUAUUGGGCGUAAAGAGCUCGUAGGCGGCUUGGCAAGUCGGGUGUGAAAACUCCAGGCUCAACCUGGAGACGCCACUCGAGACUGCUAUGGCUAGAGUCCGGUAGGGGACCACGGAAUUCCUGGUGUAGCGGUGAAAUGCGCAGAUAUCAGGAGGAACACCCGUGGCGAAGGCGGCUCUCUGGGACGGUACUGACGCUGAGACGCGAAAGCGUGGGGAGCGAACAGG
rnacentral:rRNA from 1 species